rnacentral:lncRNA from 10 species
CUCAGACUGCUGUGCUAGCAAUCAGCGAGACUCCGAGCCAGGGCAAUCCUCAUGCUCUCACUGUGCUCUCAGCAAGAACACCUGGGAUUCUUCAGCCUUGCCAUGUGUGGAGAACAGCCCAAAAAUAGGCCUGCUAAGACUUCCAAGAUGGAUUGCUAGACUUUGUGAGUCACCUCUGAAACCAAAAGCUCUGUGCUUUGUGAUUUUUGUUUGCAUCAUUAGGAUGAGGAAUUUCAGCAAACCUAACCACAAUUACCUGUGACUAAUCUUAGCAGAUAUAAAAGCAAGUGUUUCCUCUUUCAAACCCACAUAAAUAUACAAAAGGCAAAUAAAACCUUGAAUUGGAUAACCCAUUCCCAGCUAUUCUUCAAUAAAAUAUUCAUAAAACAAAAACUUUGCAGUAUAAAUAUGGUAUUCUACUAAAAAUGCAAAAUAUAUUUCCCAACUUGGUGCAGCUUUGUAAAUAUACAUUAACAUUCAGUGAGAGUAAAGAAUAAUUACAUUUCAU